rnacentral:rRNA from 1 species
AGUGAACGCUGGCGGUAGGCCUAACACAUGCAAGUCGAACGGCAGCACAGUAAGAGCUUGCUCUUACGGGUGGCGAGUGGCGGACGGGUGAGGAAUACAUCGGAAUCUACUUUUUCGUGGGGGAUAACGUAGGGAAACUUACGCUAAUACCGCAUACGACCUACGGGUGAAAGCAGGGGAUCUUCGGACCUUGCGCGAUUGAAUGAGCCGAUGCCGGAUUAGCUAGUUGGCGGGGUAAAGGCCCACCAAGGCGACGAUCCGUAGCUGGUCUGAGAGGAUGAUCAGCCACACUGGAACUGAGACACGGUCCAGACUCCUACGGGAGGCAGCAGCGGGGAAUAUUGGACAAUGGGCGCAAGCCUGAUCCAGCCAUACCGCGUGGGUGAAGAAGGCCUUCGGGUUGUAAAGCCCUUUUGUUGGGAAAGAAAAGCAGCAGGUUAAUACCCCGCUGUUCUGACGGUACCCAAAGAAUAAGCACCGGCUAACUUCGUG